rnacentral:rRNA from 1 species
UGAACGCUGGCGGUAGGCCUAACACAUGCAAGUCGAACGGCAGCACAGUAAGAGCUUGCUCUUACGGGUGGCGAGUGGCGGACGGGUGAGGAAUACAUCGGAAUCUACUUUUUCGUGGGGGAUAACGUAGGGAAACUUACGCUGAUACCGCAUACGACCUACGGGUGAAAGCAGGGGAUCUUCGGACCUUGCGCGAUUGAAUGAGCCGAUGUCGGAUUAGCUAGUUGGCGGGGUAAAGGCCCACCAAGGCGACGAUCCGUAGCUGGUCUGAGAGGAUGAUCAGCCACACUGGAACUGAGACACGGUCCAGACUCCUACGGGAGGCAGCAGUGGGGAAUAUUGGACAAUGGGCGCAAGCCUGAUCCAGCCAUACCGCGUGGGUGAAGAAGGCCUUCGGGUUGUAAAGCCCUUUUGUUGGGAAAGAAAAGCAGCAGGUUAAUACCCCGCUGUUCUGACGGUACCCAAAGAAUAAGCACCGGCUAACUUCGUG